rnacentral:rRNA from 1 species
CUGGGCCUACGGGGCGCAGCAGUGGGGAAUAUUGCACAAUGGGGGAAACCCUGAUGCAGCAGCGCCGCGUGAGUGAAGAAGUAUUUCGGUAUGUAAAGCUCUAUCAGCAGGGAAGAAGAUGACGGUACCUGAUUAAGAAGCCCCGGCUAACUACGUGCCAGCAGCCGCGGUAAUACGUAGGGGGCAAGCGUUAUCCGGAUUUACUGGGUGUAAAGGGAGCGCAGACGGCAGUGCAAGUCUGGAGUGAAAGCCCGGGGCCCAACCACGGAACUGCUCUGGAAACUGUGCGGCUAGAGUCAGGGAGG